GUUUAUCAGAACAGUUAAAAACAAAUAGUGGCAUCACCAAAUGCUGUUGAGGAUGUAAGGAAAUUGCUCUCAUGCAUUGCUAGUGGAAAUGUAACAUGGUACAACCACUCUGAAAAGAGUUUUACAGUUUCUUAUGAAACUAAACAUUCUACUGUUGUAUGACCUAGCAAUUGCACUCUUGAUGUAUUUUCCUAGAGAAAUGAAAGGUUUACACAAAAAAUUAGACACAAAUGUUUAUAACAGCUUUAUUUGUAAGAGCCACAAACUGGAACAAUAGCCACAAGUAGAAACAACCCUUGAUGUCCUUUGGUGCUUGAAUGGUUAAGUAAACCAUUGUAUAUCCAUAUGAUGGAGUACUAUUCAGCCGUAAAAGUAAAUGACCCAUUGAUACAGCACCUUGGAUGAUUCUUGAGAAAAUUAUGCUAAGUGAGAAAAGCCAAUCCCAGAAGGUUACAAAAGGUAACAAAGUGUUAUAUAAAUUGUUCAACUUGUUACGUAUGUGAUUCUACUCAUAAAACACUCUUAAAAUGACAAAAUUAUAGAAAUGGAGGACAGAUUAGUGGCUCUCAGGGGUGAGGGAUUAGGCAGAGGGAUGGUGAGGGGAGGACAGAUGUGGCUAUAAAAGGGCAUUAUGAGAGAACUUUGUGCUGAUGGGAACACUCCUUACCUUGACAGUAUCAGUGUCAAUGUCCUGCUUGGGAUAUUAUACUAUGGUUUUACAAGAUCUUCCCACUGGGGGAAACUGGGUAAAGGGUACAGAGGAUCCCUCUGUAUUAUUUCUUGAAAUUGCAUAUUAGUUAACAAUUAUCUCAAAAGUUUAGUUUUGAAAAUCAUAAUGUAUGUCCCUUUCAUUUUACUGAAAUAAAUAUUCAGAGCACUUAAUAACACAUUUUAUAGUCCAGCUCAUCUCUAUGGGAUGGUCACCCAUGAUAAUAAGAAAAGAACCUUUGAAAGUUGUAUUUUCAGAAGCAAAAAUACCGACAAUACUAGGUUAUUUACCUAGUCUCACUUGGAUUUUAAUGAGCUUGAAAAAUGCACCUGUUGUAUUAGAUGUAAUUUUUCCUUCUUUUUUUUUUCCAGCCUUUUUCUCAUUGUUCUCGUCAUAUCAGACAUUAUGGCUUUGCAUUUUUUCUUCUUGGUCAAGGAUUAUGGCAGCUGGCUUGAUAUUGGGACAAGAAAACUUCCUUCA
rnacentral:sRNA from 1 species